UACGGGGGGGGCAAGCGUUGUUCGGAAUUACUGGGCGUAAAGGGCUCGUAGGCGGCCAACUAAGUCGGACGUGAAAGCCCUCGGCUUAACCGAGGAACUGCGUCCGAUACUGGAUGGCUUGAGGUUGGGAGAGGGAUGCGGAAUUCCAGGUGUAGCGGUGAAAUGCGUAGAUAUCAGGAGGAACACCGGUGGCGAAGGCGGGUCUCUGGGCCGUAACUGACGCUGAGGAGCGAAAGCAUGGGGAGCGAACAGG
rnacentral:rRNA from 1 species